CCGCCGGCGGCCGGCGCACGGGUGAGUAACACGUAUGCAACCUGGCCGUGACAGAUGGAUAACCGGGAGAAAUCCCGCCUAAUACAGCAUGACGCCGGGAAGGGACAUCCCUUUCCGGCCAAAGGGGGCGACUCCGGUCACGGAUGGGCAUGCGGCGCAUUAGGUAGUUGGUGGGGCAACGGCCCACCAAGCCGACGAUGCGUAGGGGUUCUGAGAGGAAGGUCCCCCACAUUGGAACUGAGACACGGUCCAAACUCCUACGGGAGGCAGCAG
rnacentral:rRNA from 1 species